CCUGUAACUAACCAAAUCCAUAAAAUCACUUCAUAUUGGCCAUGCAGAACAUGACAGAAACUAACACAUGAUAACCAUGGACUGCAUGUGGUGUAGACCUGUUGUGACUUUGACUCAUUUGUUUCUUUUUUCUAAUUUUUCUUCUUUUUUUUCUUUGUACUACAUCUCCCACAAUUCUUAGUAAACUACAUUUCCCUAUAUGGUGCACUACAUUACCCAUGUUCCCCUGGUUGAGGUCUAUAAAUAGACCUUACUUCCUUCCUUUUUUUUUUUUCAUUUGCAUUGGUGAGGUGUGGGUGUUUGAAUGGAAACCCAACCUUGUCUUUUGAGUCCUUCCCUUAGGAUGCGUUAAUGACUUACAACCAUCCUGUUUGACCACAUCCUGUUUAUCCUGUGCAUCCUGUCCAUCCUAGUAGUCCUGCUCCAUGUGAAUUUGUGAACUUCAUGUCAUGUGAAUUGCUAAAGAUUUAUGUUUCUUCAAUCUAAUGUAAUAAAAGAGAGCAAAGGACUGAUGUUUUUUCCAGUGUUUUAAUCAGACAUACCACCAAGUUUCUACAAUUUUAAUGAACUUUGGAUAUUUAACAUCUCAUAUUCAACAUAUGGACCUUCGAGCCGGAGUGUUUGAAAUUUGGUGGGAUGGAUUACUAUGGAAGACAUCCAGUCCGGUGUAGUGUAAGAAUGAGAAAUCCUCCUGCCCGCUUUGCAGACUGUUUGGUAUGACAACAUGCUCCUCCUCCACCUUCUUCCUUACCAACAUCAAUCGUUUCAUAGUGUUUCCGCUCACAGUAAGAGAUGUUUGAAUGAUCACAUUAUAGAAGAUAUUCAUCUGGAUCAGACGAUG